GCCGGUGUUGCUCAGUGGAUAGAGCAUCAGUCUGUAGACUGAAGGAUCGCAGGUUCAAUUCCGGUCAGGGCCA
rnacentral:tRNA from 1 species